rnacentral:rRNA from 1 species
UCUUCCACAAUGGACGCAAGUCUGAUGGAGCAACGCCGCGUGAGUGAAGAAGGGUUUCGGCUCGUAAAGCAUUGUUGUUAAAGGAGAACGUGGGUGAGAGUAACUGUUCACUCAGUGACGGUAUUCAACCACAAAGCCACGGCUAACUACGUGCCAGCAACCGCGGUAAUACGUAGGUGGCAAGCGUUAUCCGGAUUUAUUGGGCGUAAAGCGAGCGCAGGCGGUCUUUUAAGUCUAAUGUGAAAGCCUUCGGCUCAACCGAAGAAGUGCAUUGGAAACUGGGAGACUUGAGUGCAGAAGAGGACAGUGGAACUCCAUGUGUAGCGGUGAAAUGCGUAGAUAUAUGGAAGAACACCAGUGGCGAAGGCGGCUGUCUGGUCUGUAACUGACGCUGAGGCUCGAAAGCAUGGGUAGCGAACAG